rnacentral:misc_RNA from 1 species
AUGUAUCAAGGUUUCCGUAGGUGAACCUGCGGAAGGAUCAUUACCUAGAGUUGUAGGCUUUGCCUACCAUCUCUUACCCAUGUCUUUUGAGUACCUUCGUUUCCUCGGCGGGUCCGCCCGCCGAUUGGACAAACUUAAACCCUUUGUAAUUGAAAUCAGCGUCUGAAAAAACAUAAUAGUUACAACUUUCAACAACGGAUCUCUUGGUUCUGGCAUCGAUGAAGAACGCAGCGAAAUGCGAUAAGUAGUGUGAAUUGCAGAAUUCAGUGAAUCAUCGAAUCUUUGAACGCACAUUGCGCCCCUUGGUAUUCCAUGGGGCAUGCCUGUUCGAGCGUCAUUUGUACCUUCAAGCUCUGCUUGGUGUUGGGUGUUUGUCUCGCCUUUGCGUGUAGACUCGCCUUAAAACAAUUGGCAGCCGGCGUAUUGAUUUCGGAGCGCAGUACAUCUCGCGCUUUGCACUCAUAACGACGACGUCCAAAAAGUACUUUUUACACUCUUGACCUCGGAUCAGGUAGGGAUACCCGGG